AGUCUUCUUUCUUUACAAUUUACCUUUUUUCUUUGUGCACUAGGUACAUCCUUUUUUUUUCCCCCUCUUCCCCUCUUUUUGUUUUUGUGGGUUAUUUUGGAGUUCAUAACCAGGUGUAUGUUUAAUUUUCACAAAAUUUGUGAAUUCAUUAAACUUCAGCAGAUUAGGCCACAAUUCGCCAAAAUUCACGAUUGAGGAGUUGUAACUAGUAAUCAAGUCUAAGGCCUAAAAGCAUUGAAGACCAAGGAGAUUUUACAAAUGCUAAAUUUUAGCAGGGCAAGAACUCAGCCAUGGCCAACAAGGGCUAUGUCUUGAGGAGGUAAGAUUUCCUUUCAUUUUAUUAAUCUACUAAGAGCAAUUUGGUAGGAAAAAUUCUUUUGGCUGCUGCCCUUCACUACAAGAAAAUAGUGAUUUAGAGACUAAUAUUUAGGGACUAAUUACAUUUAGUCUCUAAAAAUCAUCAUUUAGAGACAAAAAUAAAUUUUAAAAGAAAAUUAUAAGAAUACACCAUAUUUCUUUAUGAUAGGCCAAAAGAAAUUAUUUAGAAACUUUUAAGGACCAAAAAAAUUAACGCGUACAUUCACUUAGAUACUUGACCCGCAUGUUUGAGGUAGAUAAAAGCUGGAGACGAAUUAGUUUGGUUGCUAAAGCUUGUCAAAUACGCAAUAUAAGAAUUGAUCUUCAGUAGGACUUUAUCGAUCUCGACUGUUUCCUCUGUCUAGGACUUUGACUCAAUCAAUCUUCAACUUUGAUCUAUCUUUAGCUUCAGUUUGAAUCGAUCUUUGUGCCGCCUUAUAUCGAAAUCGAUCUUUACUUCAAUCCGAAUCCAUCUUUGUACUGAUCUCAGUUUCAAUCGAUCUUACCUAUUGUAACUUUAAUCUUAAUUGAUUAAGAUCUCAGCUUCAAUCUGAAUCGAUCGUUGAAGAUCUGAGUUCUUUGGCUUUAAUCGGAAGGUAAAUCAAUGAUUUUCAUGGCAGAUGAGAUCUUCAUCUUGAUGCACAAUUUUUUGAGAUUUUCUAUCAUUUUUUUAGCUACACACACACACACACACACACACACACAUAUAUACAUAUAUUCUGAGAUCUUAUAUCAUUUAUUCUUCAUCUUGUUCAAAUUUUUUGCUGAUAUAUGUAAGUUUGAGUAAAUCGAUUUGGUUUCCAACAGAGAUCGUAGUAAUUUGGAUUCAAUAGCGAUUUGAUCGCAUGUUGCUGCAAUAAGGAUUGUAGGAGAAUUACGUGCCCUAUUCUCUGUACACUUGUUGUAUGGCAGUGCUUGAAAGUCAACUCGAUUUUGUAUAUCGCAGGUUUAUUACCGAUUUCUGUCUAGUAGCUAAAAUGGAGCUUUGGACCGUUGAAAUCUCCAACUAUAAUUAUCUUGUCUCCAAUAGAUAAUUCCUACAUUAGUUUAUCCAAUUGAUUCCAAAACUGUCCUUUAAUAUAUUCCUCAAAUCAUAUUUGGUCGAUACUCUCAAAACUGUUAUGUUGGCUGAUACCACGAUCUAAGACCAUUCUUCUAAUGAAAACUUUCAUGAGAUGGGCAUAUUGCAGUACAUGUAGUGCCUUCAAAUUAUCUUGUUUCCCACUCAUUUAAAUAUUGAAACAUAAUUUCUUCUUCUUUUAUUAUUAUAUUCGAUACUCGCUCUUGAAUACUUUUGACAAGGAACAUGUUCAAUCAUGAAACACUUUCAUGGCUAAGAUCAGUCCAACUGUUUGUCCAAGCAAGUGAAUGAUAGAUUUGUCGCAGAGGUUACACCAUUGUCACCCUCUGGAACGGAAAGAUAUUCAGAGUUUCAUACAACUGAAUCGCCUAUAGAAUUCCAUGAGGAAGAAACAAGGAGUAGGUAUGCCAUGCCAAGUCUAGAUCAACAAUAAAACAAGGGAGAAAUAUCUACGAGAGAGGUUUGCAUUUAUGUUGGCUUAAAUUUAGUUUAUUGAUUAAUUGUUUUAUUGGGUACCAAUAUAUUGUUACAAGAAAGCUAAGGCAGUUAUGAUGCUUUUACAUCUGUCAGUCUAAGGUUUUAAUAACCAACCGCUCUAGAAGCCUAACCUGUUAGAAAGUAGUGUAGCUUGUUAUUUAUAUCAUCACACCCCUUUAGUAAGUUGUGCAAGUAAUUACUGGUUUCACUUGAUCACAUGACAUUAUAGCUGCAUGACCUUCAACAGUAGCUCUGAUGCAUCAUAUCUGAUUGUAUUAUUUGCAAAUGGUUGUCUUUGUAGGAUAUCUUGUUCUUUGUCCAAGCAGGAACAUGAUGCUUUCAUCCAAGAAACUUCAGCAUUGUCAUCCUCACGUAGUGAUCUUGCUCCUUGGCUUUGGAUCCGAUCAUUCUUUUCUUUCUACCUUCUUUGUUGUUACUUUCUUUUGUUUUCGUUUUAUCUUCCUUUUGCGUUAUUAGCUCAUGGAUUUGCAUUA